UUUCCGUAGGUGAACCUGCGGAAGGAUCAUUAUUAAAUUCAAAACGUAGAGGACUCGUGCUGUUGGCGCCUUCACCGCCUGCACGCUACGACCGAUACAUUUACACCUGUGGACCUUUGUUCCUCAGAUAGUCGGUUCUUUUCACUCACACCUGAAAACCUUAGAUUGUUCUUUAUACAAAUUAUGACAACUUUCAACAACGGAUCUCUUGGCUCUCGCAUCGAUGAAAAACUCAGCAAAUCGUAACAGGACACUGCUGAACUCGAAACACGCAGAUCA
rnacentral:misc_RNA from 1 species